rnacentral:rRNA from 1 species
UUAAGCGACUAAGCGUACACGGUGGAUGCCCUGGCAGUCAGAGGCGAUGAAGGACGUGCUAAUCUGCGAUAAGCGUCGGUGAGGUGAUAUGAACCGUUAUAACCGGCGAUUUCCGAAUGGGGAAACCCAGUGUGUUUCGACACACUAUCAUUAACUGAAUCCAUAGGUUAAUGAGGCGAACCGGGGGAACUGAAACAUCUAAGUACCCCGAGGAAAAGAAAUCAACCGAGAUUCCCCCAGUAGCGGCGAGCGAACGGGGAGCAGCCCAGAGCCUGAAUCAGUGUGUGUGUUAGUGGAAGCGUCUGGAAAGGCGUGCGAUACAGGGUGACAGCCCCGUACACAAAAAUGCACAUACUGUGAGCUCGAUGAGUAGGGCGGGACACGUGGUAUCCUGUCUGAAUAUGGGGGGACCAUCCUCCAAGGCUAAAUACUCCUGACUGACCGAUAGUGAACCAGUACCGUGAGGGAAAGGCGAAAAGAACCCCGGCGAGGGGAGUGAAAAAGAACCUGAAACCGUGUACGUACAAGCAGUGGGAGCCUCUUAAUGGGGUGACUGCGUACCUUUUGUAUAAUGGGUCAGCGACUUAUAUUCUGUAGCAAGGUUAACCGAAUAGGGGAGCCGAAGGGAAACCGAGUCUUAACUGGGCGUUAAGUUGCAGGGUAUAGACCCGAAACCCGGUGAUCUAGCCAUGGGCAGGUUGAAGGUUGGGUAACACUAACUGGAGGACCGAACCGACUAAUGUUGAAAAAUUAGCGGAUGACUUGUGGCUGGGGGUGAAAGGCCAAUCAAACCGGGAGAUAGCUGGUUCUCCCCGAAAGCUAUUUAGGUAGCGCCUCGUGAAUUCAUCUCCGGGGGUAGAGCACUGUUUCGGCAAGGGGGUCAUCCCGACUUACCAACCCGAUGCAAACUGCGAAUACCGGAGAAUGUUAUCACGGGAGACACACGGCGGGUGCUAACGUCCGUCGUGAAGAGGGAAACAACCCAGACCGCCAGCUAAGGUCCCAAAGUCAUGGUUAAGUGGGAAACGAUGUGGGAAGGCCCAGACAGCCAGGAUGUUGGCUUAGAAGCAGCCAUCAUUUAAAGAAAGCGUAAUAGCUCACUGGUCGAGUCGGCCUGCGCGGAAGAUGUAACGGGGCUAAACCAUGCACCGAAGCUGCGGCAGCGACACUAUGUGUUGUUGGGUAGGGGAGCGUUCUGUAAGCCUGCGAAGGUGUACUGUGAGGUAUGCUGGAGGUAUCAGAAGUGCGAAUGCUGACAUAAGUAACGAUAAAGCGGGUGAAAAGCCCGCUCGCCGGAAGACCAAGGGUUCCUGUCCAACGUUAAUCGGGGCAGGGUGAGUCGACCCUAAGGCGAGGCCGAAAGGCGUAGUCGAUGGGAAACAGGUUAAUAUUCCUGUACUUGGUGUUACUGCGAAGGGGACGGAGAAGGCUAUGUUGGCCGGGCGACGGUUGUCCCGGUUUAAGCGUGUAGGCUGAUUUUCCAGGCAAAUCCGGAAAAUCAAGGCUGAGGCGUGAUGACGAGGCACUACGGUGCUGAAGCAACAAAUGCCCUGCUUCCAGGAAAAGCCUCUAAGCAUCAGGUAACAUCAAAUCGUACCCCAAACCGACACAGGUGGUCAGGUAGAGAAUACCAAGGCGCUUGAGAGAACUCGGGUGAAGGAACUAGGCAAAAUGGUGCCGUAACUUCGGGAGAAGGCACGCUGAUAUGUAGGUGAAGUCCCUUGCGGAUGGAGCUGAAAUCAGUCGAAGAUACCAGCUGGCUGCAACUGUUUAUUAAAAACACAGCACUGUGCAAACACGAAAGUGGACGUAUACGGUGUGACGCCUGCCCGGUGCCGGAAGGUUAAUUGAUGGGGUUAGCGGUAACGCGAAGCUCUUGAUCGAAGCCCGGUAAACGGCGGCCGUAACUAUAACGGUCCUAAGGUAGCGAAAUUCCUUGUCGGGUAAGUUCCGACCUGCACGAAUGGCGUAAUGAUGGCGAGGCUGUCUCCACCCGAGACUCAGUGAAAUUGAACUCGCUGUGAAGAUGCAGUGUACCCGCGGCAAGACGGAAAGACCCCGUGAACCUUUACUAUAGCUUGACACUGAACAUUGAGCCUUGAUGUGUAGGAUAGGUGGGAGGCUUUGAAGUGUGGACGCCAGUCUGCAUGGAGCCGGCCUUGAAAUACCACCCUUUAAUGUUUGAUGUUCUAACGUUGGCCCCUGAUCGGGGUUGCGGACAGUGUCUGGUGGGUAGUUUGACUGGGGCGUGCUCCUCCUAAAGAGUAACGGAGGAGCACGAAGGUUGGCUAAUCUGGUCGGACAUCAGGAGGUUAGUGCAAUGGCAUAAGCCAGCUUGACUGCGAGCGUGACGGCGCGAGCAGGUGCGAAAGCAGGUCAUAGUGAUCCGGUGGUUCUGAAUGGAAGGGCCAUCGCUCAACGGAUAAAAGGUACUCCGGGGAUAACAGGCUGAUACCGCCCAAGAGUUCAUAUCGACGGCGGUGUUUGGCACCUCGAUGUCGGCUCAUCACAUCCUGGGGCUGAAGUAGGUCCCAAGGGUAUGGCUGUUCGCCAUUUAAAGUGGUACGCGAGCUGGGUUUAGAACGUCGUGAGACAGUUCGGUCCCUAUCUGCCGUGGGCGCUGGAGAACUGAGGGGGGCUGCUCCUAGUACGAGAGGACCGGAGUGGACGCAUCACUGGUGUUCGGGUUGUCAUGCCAAUGGCACUGCCCGGUAGCUAAAUGCGGAAGAGAUAAGUGCUGAAAGCAUCUAAGCACGAAACUUGCCCCGAGAUGAGUUCUCCCUGACUCCUUGAGAGUCCUGAAGGAACGUUGAAGACGACGACGUUGAUAGGCCGGGUGUGUAAGCGCAGCGAUGCGUUGAGCUAACCGGUACUAAUGAACCGUGAGGCUUAACCU